rnacentral:rRNA from 1 species
UACGGGGGGAGCAAGCGUUGUUCGGAUUUACUGGGCGUAAAGGGCGCGUAGGCGGCCACCGCAAGUCAAUUGUGAAAUCUCCGGGCUCAACCCGGAAAGGUCAACUGAUACUGCGGGGCUAGAGUGCAGAAGGGGCAACUGGAAUUCUCGGUGUAGCGGUGAAAUGCGUAGAUAUCAGGAGGAACACCGAUGGCGAAGGCAGCUCGCUGGGACGGUACUGACGCUGAGGCGCGAAAGCGUGGGGAGCAAACAGG